rnacentral:rRNA from 1 species
GACGAACGCUGGCGGCGUGCUUAACACAUGCAAGUCGAACGGAAAGGCCCUGCUUUUGUGGGGUGCUCGAGUGGCGAACGGGUGAGUAACACGUGAGUAACCUGCCCUUGACUUUGGGAUAACUUCAGGAAACUGGGGCUAAUACCGGAUAGGAGCUCCUGCUGCAUGGUGGGGGUUGGAAAGUUUCGGCGGUUGGGGAUGGACUCGCGGCUUAUCAGCUUGUUGGUGGGGCAGUGGCUUACCAAGGCUUUGACGGGUAGCCGGCCUGAGAGGGUGACCGGCCACAUUGGGACUGAGAUACGGCCCAGACUCCUACGGGAGGCAGCAGUGGGGAAUAUUGCACAAUGGGCGGAAGCCUGAUGCAGCAACGCCGCGUGCGGGAUGACGGCCUUCGGGUUGUAAACCGCUUUCGCCUGUGACGAAGCGUGAGUGACGGUAAUGGGUAAAGAAGCACCGGCUAACUACGUGC